rnacentral:rRNA from 1 species
UCAGGACGAACGCUGGCGGCGUGCCUAAUACAUGCAAGUCGAACGGUCUUUCUAUGGAAGCUUGCUUCCACUGAGAAGAUAGUGGCGAACGGGUGAGUAACACGUGGGUAACCUGCCCAUAAGAGGGGGGAUAACAUCCGGAAACGGGUGCUAAUACCGCAUAGUUUUCUUGAUCGCAUGAUCGGGAAAGGAAAGACGGCCUUUGUGCUGUCGCUUAUGGAUGGACCCGCGGCGUAUUAGUUAGUUGGUGAGGUAACGGCUCACCAAGACGAUGAUACGUAGCCGACCUGAGAGGGUGAUCGGCCACAUUGGGACUGAGACACGGCCCAAACUCCUACGGGAGGCAACAGUAGGGAAUCUUCCGCAAUGGACGAAAGUCUGACGGAGCAACGCCGCGUGAGUGAAAGAAGGUUUUCGGAUCGUAAAACUCUGUUGUCAGAGAAGAACAAGUUGGAGAGUAACUGCUCCAGCCUUGACGGUAUCUGACCAGAAAGCCACGGCUAACUACGUGCCAGCCGCCGC